rnacentral:rRNA from 1 species
AGUGAACGCUGGCGGUAGGCCUAACACAUGCAAGUCGAACGGCAGCACAGUAAGAGCUUGCUCUUACGGGUGGCGAGUGGCGGACGGGUGAGGAAUACAUCGGAAUCUACUUUUUCGUGGGGGAUAACGUAGGGAAACUUACGCUAAUACCGCAUACGACCUACGGGUGAAAGCAGGGGAUCUUCGGACCUUGCGCGAUUGAAUGAGCCGAUGUCGGAUUAGCUAGUUGGCGGGGUAAAGGCCCACCAAGGCGACGAUCCGUAGCUGGUCUGAGAGGAUGAUCAGCCACACUGGAACUUGAGCACGGUCCAGACUCCUACGGGAGGCAGCAGUGGGGAAUAUUGGACAAUGGGCGCAAGCCUGAUCCAGCCAUACCGCGUGGGUGAAGAAGGCCUUCGGGUUGUAAAGCCCUUUUGUUGGGAAAGAAAAGCAGCAGGUUAAUACCCCGCUGUUCUGACGGUACCCAAAGAAUAAGCACCGGCUAACUUCGUG